rnacentral:rRNA from 1 species
CCUACGGGAGGCAGCAGUGGGGAAUAUUGCACAAUGGGCGAAAGCCUGAUGCAGCGACGCCGCGUGAGGGAUGUCGGCCUUCGGGUUGUAAACCUCUUUCAGCAGGGAAGAAGCGAAAGUGACGGUACCUGCAGAAGAAGCACCGGCUAACUACGUGCCAGCAGCCGCGGUAAU